GACCCCUGGGGGAACCGGUAGGGAAACCGAGGUCCCCAAGCGCAGGGACCAGGCGCCCCUUUCUCUCCCUCGGCAGCUGGAGACACAGCUGUGCUGCGUCCUUGCCCUGAGGGUUCCCCGGGCACCCGGCUCGCGGACGAAUUUCCUCAGUUCGGGGGACUUUUACGAGCAGCUGCUCCGGUUCCGUCUGUGGUUCCCAGGGGUCGCCACGCCGCACCCAGGUUGUGAGGGACCCGCCUUCUUUGAGCGAGUCAUUCAUCCAGUUACAGUCCCGCCAGGCCCUCUGCAAUGAGAGCAAACCCAGAGGCCUGCUUUCAUGAACUUGAUCAUCUGCUGAGGGAGCCAUUGGUGAAACACCUAACCGUUCAAGUGAAAAUGUCCAACGUUGACAAAUUUUAAUAAGGAAGAGGUCCAGAGUGCUAGGCGUCUAAACAAGGAACCUGCUCCAGACUUGGGGGGCCAAGGAAAUGAUGCUGGAUGCUGGGAGCUGAGCAGGCGUUAACCACACACAGAGGAGAAGGCCAUGGCAAGAGAGAGCCUGGCCUGGUGAGAGAACAGCAAGAGCUGUGUGCCAAGGCCCGAGAGUGGAGGACAGUGGAGCAGGUGAGGCCACAGCCAUCCACAAGGACCGCGGGCCGUGGGAGAGACUGUGGGCCAGAUCCUAAGAGGAAUGGGGAGCCACUGACGGAUUUUAACCCAAACGGGGACACCUGUGUUUCCAAAAGAUGUUGGAAGGAGCCAGAAUGUAUGUGUCCAGAGGAGAUGAGCAGGCUAUGGAGCAUUUUCAAAAAUCACUGGAAUCAUUUGUUCUUUAAAGUCUAGGAAUCUCACCUCCUCACCUUGGCUGUGAGGUCUUCUGAGGCAAGAAUGAUGCCUGUUCUUUCUUGGGCAUGUCCUCCCAGCCUGGCCAGCCAGAGGCCUGGACACCUAAGAGCUGCCGGCCUUUCCUUGAACUCUGAGGGCUUCUGUGGAACAGAGAGCCCUAAGGGAGUAACAGCUUGCUCCCCAGUGUCUGCAAGAGGCUCCCAAGCAACCACCUUGCACCCUGGAGCCCUUCCCAGCGGUGGGAGGCUGGACAAGGCCAGGACACCAUUAAGGAAUCCCUGACUGGGGUGAGGAAUCUCGGGGCCAGCUGGCCUUGCUGCUUCUGGUUCCACACUGAGCCUGGAUCCUAUCCACUUACUAUCCAAAUCCAAUGUAUGCCCGUCUCUUGUCCUGUGGUAUCCCAGGGCAGAGGCCUCAUAUAGCACAUCUCUGUAGCCUGAAGCUAGCUCAGAACAACCAUAGGAAUUGUAUGCAGAACAGAUCUGCACCUAUGCACAGCUCACACCAACAUCCCUAGGCCCAGAGCCCAAGCCCAGCCUGAUAGCAGUCUCCACCUCUCUCCCCCAGCUCAGAACCCUCACUUAGUAAGUUUCAUUAACUGUUUAGAGCCCAUCAGGUAAUAAAUUAUCCCCUUAUUUGCUCCCUAAAGGAGCCAGGCUGGGCCAGAUAUCCUCAAACUGAAGUGUUGGGAAGAAAUGGUACUCCCCUGUCAGAGGAGGGAGCCCCCACAGGAGGCCAUGCUAUUCGGAAACUUCUCUCUUCCCACAUGGUUCCCAGUCCCUGCCUGGCCCAAGCCUAAGUCCCAGCAGACCACAGGCCAACUUGGGUCUUUUCCAUGUCUUGCCGGAUCUCAGCCUCCAUGAAAAGGCUCUGGAAGGACUAAGAAUCUCAGGCUGGGCCAGCUAGAUAAGCCCAGAGGGACAUUGCCACUGGGGCCCAAAGAGGGCCAAACAGGCACCA